rnacentral:rRNA from 1 species
GUUAAAUUUAAACCCCUUUUACAAAUUCUAUUGGAGGGCAAGUCUGGUGCCAGCAGCCGCGGUAAUUCCAGCUCCAAUAGCGUAUAUUUAAGCUGUUGCAGUUAAAAAGCUCGUAGUUGGAUUUAGGGCUCAGAGCGACUGAACCGCCGUAAAGGUGUGUAGAAGUAUAGCUCUGUCCUUUCUUCUGAGGAUUUAUGGCAACUUUGAUUAGAAACCAUUAUAUUCUCAGAUCGUUUACUUUGAAGAAAUUAGAGUGUUUAAGGCAGGCCAGCGCAUCUGCAUACAUAAGCAUGGAAUAAUGAAAUAGAGCUUUGGUUCUAUUUUGUUGGUUUUGAGUGCCAAAGUGAUGGUUAAUAGGGAUAGUUGGGGGCAUUAGUAUUUAAUUGUCAGAGGUGUAAUUCUCGGAUUUAUGAAAGACUAACUUCUGCGAAAGCAUUUGCCAAGGAUGUUUUCAUUAAUCAAGAACGAAAGUUAGGGGAUCGAAGACGAUCAGACACCGUCCUAGUCCUAACCAUAAACUAUGCCGACUAGGGAUUGGAGGAUGUUAAAUUCCGACUCCUUCAGCACCUUAUGAGAAAUCAAAGUCUUUGGGUUCUGGGGGGAGUAUGGUCGCAAGGCUGAAACUUAAAGGAAUUGACGGAAGGGCACCACCAGGAGUGGAGCCUGCGGCUUAAUUUGACUCAACACGGGGAAACUUACCAGGUCCAGACAUGUGAAGGAUUGACAGAUUGAGAGCUCUUUCUUGAUUUGCAUGGGUGGUGGUGCAUGGCCGUUGUUAGUUGGUGAAGUGAUUUGUCUGGUUAAUUCCGAUAACGAACGAGACCUUAACCUACUAAAUAGCGAACAGAAUCCCUAGGGAUUCUGAUUGUCCUCUUAGAGGGACUAUUCACGUUUAGUGAACGGAAGCUUGAGGCAAUAACAGGUCUGUGAUGCCCUUAGAUGUCCUGGGCCGCACGCGCGCUACACUGAUGAAGUCAACAAGUUUCUUCCUUGAUCGAAAGGUCUGGGUAAUCUUUUGAAACUUCAUCGUGCUGGGGAUAGAUUAUUGCAAUUAUUAAUCUUCAACGAGGAAUUCCUAGUAAGUGCGAGUCAUCAGCUCGCGCUGAUUACGUCCCUGCCCUUUGUACACACCGCCCGUCGCUCCUACCGAUUGAACGAUCCGGUGAAAUCUUCGGACCACAACAGCGCCAUCUGGUGAUCUGUAUGUGGGAAGUUGCUUAAAUCUUAUCGUUUAGAGGAAGGAGAAGUCGUAACAAGGUU